GGUGAGUAACACGUGAGUAACCUGCCUUAGACAUUGGGAUAGCCUCGGGAAACCGGGAUUAAUACCAAAUAGAAUCAUAAUGACACAUGUCAUAACGAUCAAAACUCCGGUGGUCUAAGAUGGACUCGCGUCCCAUUAGCUAGUUGGUAGAGUAAAAGCCUACCAAGGCGACGAUGGGUAGCCGGCCUGAGAGGGUGGACGGCCACAUUGGGACUGAGAUACGGCCCAG
rnacentral:rRNA from 1 species